AGUUAUUGUUGUUCUAUGAGAAAUUACACAGAUUAGAAUAGAAACACACACAGGAUAAAUAUUGUAGGAAUUAUUUUUGGAGACUAUUGCCAUUGUUCAAAUUACAGGAUGGAUCUGACCGGGAUUGCCGUUGCGAUGGGUUUCCUCUAUCAGCGAGCAGAAAAGGAGGCUGCCCAACUGAGGCGGAUCGUCGAGCAGAGAGCUAUAGGAUACGGCGGGAGACACUAAGGAGACGAGCCAUCCUCAGUUGUCUGUCUCACGAGUUUUAUCGGCUUGUUUUAAACUUUUCAAUUGAUCAGUUAAUAUUGAUACAUACACUUGACUGUAACGGGUGAAUUUGUCAUUUUACCACAGGGUAGAAAGUUUAAAUAUAAAGCGGACAAUACAUAUUAAAUACAUAAUUGCAAUUUAUUGUACGUUAAAAUACUAGCUGUGUUUUUCUCUGGAGGGGACCUGUAGCCAGCCUUCAGGCUCUCCAGGGAGAGCUUCUACCGGUUGCUUGCCUUGCUGCCCCAGGCAAAAAGCCCAUUGAUGGAGCCAUGAGGUGGAGGUGCUGGUGGCGGUGUACUGGCUGGCCUGUGGAGCAUCGUACAGGGUGACGGCAGACGCCUUUGGGAUGCCCCUGUCCACAGUUUGCAGGACGGUCCAUGGCGUGGUGGAGGAGAUGAUGGCCAUCCUCCACAGGAUGAUUCAUCUCCCCAAGGCAGAGGAGAUGGAGGAGGUGGGGGCUGGCUUUGCUCGCCUGGCAGGUGACGAGGCCUUUGGAUGUGCUGCUGGGGCCAUUGAUGGAUGCCACAUCAACGUUUUGCCACCUGCAGAGCAGAAGAAGAGCUAUUUCAACAGGAAGCUCUUCACUGCAGGGCAUCUGUGAUGGAAACGGUCAAUUUAUUGACGUCUUCAUCGGGAACCCGGGGUCAAUGCAUGAUGCACUCGUGCUCCGGCGUUCUCCUUUUUAUAGGCAGGCCCUGUACCCACCAGCUGGGUACUUCCUGCUGGGUGAUGGAGGGUACCCAUGCCUGCAGCGUCCCGUGGCCAUUAUGACGCCAUACCACCCUGUAGCCGGUCAUGUUGAAGCCCGAUGCAACCACGCCAGAGGGCGUAACAUUGUGGAGUGGUCAUUCGGGAUCCUCAAAACCCGCUGGCGGGCCAUCUUCCUGUGGUAUCUGGAGAUCCGGCCUGUUUGCCCCCAAGGUGGUUGGUGCCUGCUGCAGUGGCGCAAAAAGUGGGUAUGCACUAAUAUGCGGCGCAUAGGGGCGCCGAACCAGAGGGGGCGCCAAAGCGAUGGAAGUAAAAUGAUUUGAGUUGGCAUUUUCGCGAGUUGGCGCCCCCCCGCUCCUUCGCCUCCCUCCCCCCUCCUCCCCACACGGCGGUCCAGUGGCCGCCCCCUCGACUACGUCCUGGAGGUGAGCGCCAGUGUCUUCAUUUGAACCGUAUUGUCAUCUGAUGACACGUACCUCAAUAUGGAGAGGCAGAGAAGAAAGCCCUCGGGGUCACAACA
ensembl:lncRNA